AAAUUAUCCCCAUUUUCACCCAUAAUUCUUUUCUCCUUCCCCUCUCUUCUCUCUCUUUUCACUCUCUCUUUGCCGCCUUUAGCCGCCGCCGGAAAUCACCCACCGACGGCAGACCACCUCCAAACACCUUAAAAUUCACACCAUGUAAUCUCCACAACCUCCUCUUUUCAUAUCUCCAAACCAAAUCCUUCAAAAACCCCUCAAACUCUUUGAAUCUUAGAUCUAGAAAAUUUUACCCGUCAUUUUUUUUGUCCAAAUUCUUGAAGCUCUAACCACUACCACCCCAUAACACCUACAUCAAUGGAUAGAACUCCUCAAGACCUACCUAUUGAUUCCAAUUCUACCCCAAAAAUCUGGCGACCAUAAUCCGGCCAAAUUUCUGCAACCUCCCCGAACACCCUCUUUUGGCAUACCACCAUUUUUUCGGCCUUUUGAUUUGUAAAAUGGUAAUUUUCGGACCAUGUAAACUCAUAAAAUCGAGUUGGAAUGAAAGAUAAUGAUGCUGGGAAAUAUUAGUAGCUUUAUCCUUCUAUUGUAAUUCAUUUUUAUAUGCUCUUGAAUGUUUGAUAAUGUUAUAACGAUAUGUUAGUUAAUUAAAUUGUGUUA